rnacentral:rRNA from 1 species
UACAGAGGGUGCAAGCGGUUGUUCGGAAUUAUUGGGCGUAAAGCGCGUGUAGGCGGCAUUGCAAGUCGGGUGUGAAAGCCCUGGGCUCAACCCAGGAAGUGCACUCGAUACUGUUUAGCUAGAGUAUCGGAGAGGUUGGUGGAAUUCUCGGUGUAGAGGUGAAAUUCGUAGAUAUCGAGAGGAACACCAGCGGCGAAGGCGGCAUCCUGGCCCUGUACUGACGCUGAGGCGCGAUAGCGUGGGGAGCAAACGGG